UACGUAGGUGGCGAGCGUUGUCCGGAAUUACUGGGUGUAAAGCGCGUGUAGGCGGCAGGCCAAGUCGGUGGUGAAAGCGCCCGGCUCAACUGGGCGAGGUCCAUGGAAACUGGUCAGCUGGAGGACGGUAGAGGCGAGUGGAAUUCCCGGUGUAGUGGUGAAAUGCGUAGAUAUUGGGAGGAACACCAGUGGCGAAGGCGGCUCACUGGACCGGAACUGACGCUGAGGCGCGAAAGCGUGGGGAGCAAACGGG
rnacentral:rRNA from 1 species